ensembl:lncRNA
CUGAUAUAAUGUUGUGUUCUCUCCAGGUUGGUCCAGGUGUCUAUAGGUCCUGAUAUAAUGUUGUGUUCUCUCCAGGUUGGUCCAGGUGUCUAUAGGUCCUGAUAUAAUGCUGUGUUCUCUCCAGGUGUCUAUAGGUCCUGAUAUAAUGUUGUGUUCUCUCCAGGUUGGUCCAGGUGUCUAUAGGUCCUGAUAUAAUGCUGUGUUCUCUCCAGGUGUCUAUAGGUCCUGAUAUAAUGUUGUGUUCUCUCCAGGUUGGUCCAGGUGUCUAUAGGUCCUGAUAUAAUGUUGUGUUCUCUCCAGGUUGGUCCAGGUGUCUAUAGGUCCUGCUAUAAUGUUGUGUUCUCUCUAGGUGUCUAUAGGUCCUGAUAUAAUGUUGUGUUCUCUCCAGGUGUCUAUAGGUCCUGAUAUAAUGUUGUGUUCUCUCCAGGUGUCUAUAGGUCCUGAUAUAAUGUUGUGUUCUCUCCAGGUGUCUAUAGGUCCUGAUAUAAUGUUGUGUUCUCUCCAGGUGUCUAUAGGUCCUGAUAUAAUGUUGUGUUCUCUCCAGGUUGGUCC